UACGGAGGGUGCAAGCGUUAAUCGGAAUUACUGGGCGUAAAGCGCACGCAGGUGGCUGAGUCAGUCGAUUGUGAAAGCCCUGGGCUUAACCUAGGAAUUGCAGUCGACACUACUCGGCUAGAGUAUGGGAGAGGGCAGUGGAAUUCCCGGUGUAGCGGUGAAAUGCGUAGAUAUCGGGAGGAACAUCAGUGGCGAAGGCGGCUGCCUGGCCCAAUACUGACACUCAGGUGCGACAGCGUGGGGAGCAAACAGG
rnacentral:rRNA from 1 species